GCAAACUUGGUCAUUUAGAGGAAGUAAAAGUCGUAACAAGGUUUCCGUAGGUGAACCUGCGGAAGGAUCAUUACCGAGUAAUGGGGUCUCCGGCCCCUACUCCCACCCUAUGUUGAUUUUAAUAGUUGCUUUGGCGGACCGGUGCCUUGGGUGCCGCCGGCCUGUGGCUGGAGAGCGUCCGCCAGAGGAUUUUCAAACUCUGAUUGAUUAGCUGUGGCAUCUGAGUCUAUUUGAAUGAAGUCAAAACUUUCAACAACGGAUCUCUUGGUUCUGGCAUCGAUGAAGAACGCAGC
rnacentral:misc_RNA from 1 species